rnacentral:rRNA from 1 species
CCUACGGGAGGCUGCAGUGAGGAAUAUUGGUCAAUGGCCGGAAGGCUGAACCAGCCAAGUCGCGUGAGGGACGAAUGCCCUAUGGGUUGUAAACCUCUUUUAUAAGGGAAGAAUAAAUGCUACGUGUAUCAUGAUGCCUGUACCUUAUGAAUAAGCAUCGGCUAACUCCGUGCCAGCAGCCGCGGUAAUACGGAGGAUGCGAGCGUUCUCCGGAUUUAUUGGGUUUAAAGGGUGCGUAGGCGGUUUGUUAAGUUAGUGGUAAAACGUCGGGGCUUCACCUUGAUUUGCCAUUAAUACUGUAAGACUCGAGUUCAGAAGAGGUAGGCGGAAUAAGUUAAGUAGCGGUGAAAUGCUUAGAUAUAACUUAGAACUCCGAUAGCGAAGGCAGCUUACCAGACUGCGACUGACGCUGAAGCACGAGAGCGUGGGUAGCGAACAGGAUUAGAUACCCUGGUAGUC